rnacentral:rRNA from 1 species
ACGCUGGCGGCAGGCCUAACACAUGCAAGUCGAGCGGUAGAGAGAAGCUUGCUUCUCUUGAGAGCGGCGGACGGGUGAGUAAUGCCUAGGAAUCUGCCUGGUAGUGGGGGAUAACGUCCGGAAACGGACGCUAAUACCGCAUACGUCCUACGGGAGAAAGCAGGGGACCUUCGGGCCUUGCGCUAGCAGAUGAGCCUAGGUCGGAUUAGCUAGUUGGUGGGGUAAUGGCUCACCAAGGCGACGAUCCGUAACUGGUCUGAGAGGAUGAUCAGUCACACUGGAACUGAGACACGGUCCAGACUCCUACGGGAGGCAGCAGUGGGGAAUAUUGGACAAUGGGCGAAAGCCUGAUCCAGCCAUGCCGCGUGUGUGAAGAAGGUCUUCGGAUUGUAAAGCACUUUAAGUUGGGAGGAAGGGCAGUAAAUUAAUACUUUGCUGUUUUGACGUUACCGGCAGAAUAAGCACCGGCUAACUCUGUGCCAGCAGCCGCGGUAAUACAGAGGGUGCAAGCGUUAAUCGGAAUUACUGGGCGUAAAGCGCGCGUAGGUGGUUCGUUAAGUUGGAUGUGAAAUCCCCGGGCUCAACCUGGGAACUGCAUUCAAAACUGACGAGCUAGAGUAUGGUAGAGGGUGGUGGAAUUUCCUGUGUAGCGGUGAAAUGCGUAGAUAUAGGAAGGAACACCAGUGGCGAAGGCGACCACCUGGACUGAUACUGACACUGAGGUGCGAAAGCGUGGGGAGCAAAC